UACUACCGAAGCUACGGCAUCAGUAAUGAUGGGUAGGGGAGCUUCCCAUACGGGUUGAAGCAUGACCGCAAGGACAUGUGGACAGUAUGGGCGUGAGAAUGUUGGCAUGAGUAGCGAGAUGUGGGUGAGAAUCCCACAGGCCGUAAACCCAAGGUUUCCAGGGGAAGGUUCGUCCGCCCUGGGUUAGUCGGGACCUAAGCUGAGGCCGAAAGGCGUAGGUGAUGGACAACAGGUUGAUAUUCCUGUACUACCGAUAACC
rnacentral:rRNA from 1 species